rnacentral:lncRNA from 1 species
UCUCAGUGGGACACCGGGAAGGUGAUCGCUAGUGGGAGGUGACUGUACAGAAGGACGCGGCUGUCACAGGAUUGGGCAGGUCCCUUACCCCAGUCCCGGACUCAGCGUCCUGUCUGAAGCGGUCACCCCGAAGAGGGGGGGUCUGCGGAGACGUAGGGCCUGGCGGAGGGAAGGAUGGGGAGGCAUCUCAGGGAGGACUGGCGUCUGCCAAAUCCCAGGGCUGCCCUGAGCGGCCAAGAGGGGUAAGGGUGGGGACGACGGGAGACAAGCCACGUGCCGAAUGGGGACCUAACGCGGCGCGCGAUAGGAUGGGCGGAUGAUGAAGAGAACUAGGGUCGAAGGGCCGGACAGGGGCGACCUCAGUGACGGAACCGGACACAGACGCAGAUCUGGCAGCUGAGCGACAGGCUUCGGAGCAUUUCAGGGCGUCGCGGGGCUCCCCGCCGACAGUAGGGCUGUUGCCGAGCCUGUGACGUCCGCGGAGACCCACAGACCCCGGGUUGGGAGGAUGGCGCAGGAAGGGUACUGCGUGGCUGGGUUUGGGCACAAAAAGCGGAGGGCACUCACCCGAGCGGACCUUGGCUCCGAAGAAUCCGUUUCCGGGUCAACAAAAGAGUCGCGCGAAGGGCGGGGCCAGUACGUGCCGGCCGGGGAGGGGUAAGGCAGACAAAAAGGCAGGGCCGGGCCGGGGCGGGGUCUCGGGCAGGGGCAGGGCGCAUUCUGAGCUCCCGCCCCCGCCGCGUGCGUUUCCGACCCUGCUGGUUUUUCUCCUGGGCUGAAAGCGCGUCAGGUUCUGUUUGAGUGCGUUCGGUGCACCUUGGGGGCGCGCUGCUUCCAACUUCCUUUUAGGAAUUGGAAUCUGCCCAGCUGAGCCCCAGACGCUGGAGGGGUCCCGGGGGUCAGUCAGCCCUGCGCCAGCCUCCGGUUCCUCUUCUGGCCAUACAAGGAAGUCCAGUGCGGGGAUGACUAAGCAGCUGACCUGGGGGGAGAGCAGCCCUGGAGCGGAGGCAGGACUGGCCUCUCCUGCCAGCCAUCAGCCCCUGUGGGUUGGUCCUGCGGUGAAAAGUCCCAGGCCUCCCACCAGGGAGCACCUGACCUCUCUGCUCCCUGAGAGGAGUGAGGUGAGCCUCAGGGUCGGCCGGUAGAGGCACAGCCUUGCACUGACAUCAGGCCCUAAGCUCUAGUUCCACACAGAGAUAGCGGGUCUGUCCUGGCCUCCUAUGGGCUCCCAGGGACAGGGAGAUCUGGCCUGACCUUCCCAGCAACGCCUGCCCCAGUGGAGAAACCCCAGCUUCCCAGCAUCAGGACACACUCUCUCUCACACCCUCCGUAGUUCCCGCUGACCUCACCGCAAAGUCCACAGUAGAAACUCAGAGUCCUACUGAGGAGACACCUGCCCAGCUGUCAGCCUGCUCCCUCCACCUGCUUCCUCCACCUGCUCCCUCCACCUGCUUCNNNNNNNNNNCUGCUCCCUCCACCUGCUCCCUCCACCUGCUUCCUCCACCUGCUCCCCCCAUCUGCUCUAUCUCCUGCU